rnacentral:rRNA from 1 species
GAGUUUGAUCCUGGCUCAGGAUGAACGCUGACAGAAUGCUUAACACAUGCAAGUCGACUGGAAUUCACCUUCGGGUGAUAGUACGGUGGCGGACGGGUGAGUAACGCGUAAAGAACUUACCCUCUAGACUGGGACAACUGUUGGAAACGACAGCUAAUACCGGAUAUUAUGAGAACCUCGCAUGGGGAACUUAUGAAAGGCUAUAUGCGCUAGAGGAGAGCUUUGCGUGCCAUUAGGUAGUUGGUAGGGUAAUGGCCUACCAAGCCGACGAUGGCUAGCCGGCCUGAGAGGGUGAUCGGCCACAAGGGGACUGAGACACGGCCCUUACUCCUACGGGAGGCAGCAGUGGGGAAUAUUGGACAAUGGACCACAAGUCUGAUCCAGCAAUUCUGUGUGCACGAUGAAGGUUUUCGGAUCGUAAAGUGCUUUCAGUAGGGAAGAAAAAAAUGACGGUACCUACAGAAGAAGCGACGGCUAAAUACGUGCCAGCAGCCGCGGUAAUACGUAUGUCGCAAGCGUUAUCCGGAAUUAUUGGGCGUAAAGCGCGUCUAGGCGGUCUUUUAAGUCUGAUGUUAAAAUGCGGGGCUCAACUCCGUAUUGCGUUGGAAACUGGAAGACUAGAGUAUCAGAGAGGUGGGCGGAACUACAAGUGUAGAGGUGAAAUUCGUAGAUAUUUGUAGGAAUGCCGAUUGGGAAGCCAGCUCACUGGAUGAAUACUGACGCUGAAGCGCGAAAGCGUGGGGAGCAAACGGGAUUAGAUACCCCGGUAGUCCACGCCGUAAACGAUGAUCACUAAGUGUGGGGGGUCGAACCUCCGUGCUCAAGCUAACGCGAUAAGUGAUCCGCCUGGGGAGUACGCACGCAAGUGUGAAACUCAAAGGAAUUGACGGGGACCCGCACAAGCGGUGGAGCAUGUGGUUUAAUUCGACGCAACGCGAGGAACCUUACCAGCCCUUGACAUCCCAAGAACUUAGCAGAGAUGCUUUGGUGCCACUUCGGUGGAACUUGGUGACAGGUGGUGCAUGGCUGUCGUCAGCUCGUGUCGUGAGAUGUUGGGUUAAGUCCCGCAACGAGCGCAACCCCUUUCGUAUGUUACCAUCAUUAAGUUGGGGACUCAUGCGAUACUGCCGGUGACAAACCGGAGGAAGGUGGGGAUGACGUCAAGUCAUCAUGCCCCUUAUGGGCUGGACUACACACGUGCUACAAUGGGCGAUACAGAGAGUCGCAAUACCGCGAGGUGGAGCUAAUCUCAGAAAGUCGUUCUUAGUUCGGAUCGCAGUCUGCAACUCGACUGCGUGAAGUUGGAAUCGCUAGUAAUCGCGAAUCAGCAAUGUCGCGGUGAAUACGUUCUCGGGUCUUGUACACACCGCCCGUCACACCAUGAGAGUUGGUUGCACCUGAAGUAGCAGGCCUAACCCGUUUACGGGAGGGAUGUUCCUAAGGUGUGAUUAGCGAUUGGGGUGAAGUCGUAACAAGGUAUCCGUACGGGAACGUGCGGCUGGAUCACCUCCUUUCUAGGGGCGAUUCGGAAUUCAUCACUGGCGCCGCUCGACAUGCCAUGAGGCCAAUGCCUUGGAUCCAUACAUACUGGCGUCAGCGUGAGUGAACUGUGCUACACAUUAUGCGCUGCGGCAU